rnacentral:rRNA from 1 species
AGAGUUUGAUCCUGGCUCAGGAUGAACGCUAGCUACAGGCUUAACACAUGCAAGUCGAGGGGCAGCGGGAGAGUAGCUUGCUACUCUUGCCGGCGACCGGCGGAUGGGUGAGUAACGCGUAUCCAACCUGCCCCGCGCCCGGGGAUAGCCCUUAGAAAUGAGGAUUAAGACCCGAUACCUGCGGGCCCCGCAUGGGGCUUUCAGAAAACAAGGCACGGGAUGGGGAUGCGUUGGAUUAGCUUGCCGGCGGGGUGACGGCCCACCGGGGCGACGAUCCAUAGGGGUUCUGAGAGGAAGGUCCCCCACACUGGUACUGAGACACGGACCAGACUCCUACGGGAGGCAGCAGUGAGGAAUAUUGGUCAAUGGGCGGGAGCCUGAACCAGCCAAGUAGCGUGCAGGAUGACGGCCCUACGGGUUGUAAACUGCUUUUGCGCAGGGAUAAAAAAGCCCACGUGUGGGCUCUUGCAGGUACUGCGUGAAUAAGGACCGGCUAAUUCCGUGCCAGCAGCCGCGGUAAUACGGAAGGUCCGAGCGUUAUCCGGAUUUAUUGGGUUUAAAGGGUGCGCAGGCGGAGAUGCAAGCCAGCCGUAAAAUCGUGGGGCUCAACCCCAUUCAGCGGUUGGAACUUCAUCCCUUGAUUGCGGCAGAGGGAGGUGGAACUCGUGGUGUAGCGGUGAAAUGCAUAGAUAUCACGAAGAACUCCGAUUGCGAAGGCAGCCUCCUGGACCGUAAAUGACGCUCAUGCACGAAGGCGCGGGUAUCAAACAGGAUUAGAUACCCUGGUAGUCCCCGCAGUAAACUAUGAAUGCUCGCGGUUCGCCCCUAGGGCGUGCCGCCUAGCGAAAGCGUUAAGCAUUCCACCUGGGGAGUACGCCGGCAACGGUGAAACUCAAAGGAAUUGACGG